rnacentral:rRNA from 1 species
CCUACGGGAGGCAGCAGUGAGGAAUAUUGGUCAAUGGGCUUAAGCCUGAACCAGCCAAGUAGCGUGAGGGAAGACUGCCCUAUGGGUUGUAAACCUCUUUUGUCAGGGAGCAACGCCGGCUACGUGUAGCCGGACUGAGAGUACCUGAAGAAAAAGCAUCGGCUAACUCCGUGCCAGCAGCCGCGGUAAUACGUAGGGAGCGAGCGUUGUCCGGAAUUACUGGGUGUAAAGGGAGCGUAGGCGGGCGAGAAGGUUGAUUGUUAAAUCUACCGGCUUAACUGGUAGCUGCGUUCAAUACUUGUUGUCUUGAGGGAAGUAGAGGCAGGCGGAAUUCGUAGUGUAGCGGUGAAAUGCGGAGAUAUUAGGAGGAACACCAGUGGCGAAGGCGGCCUGCUGGGCUGUAACUGACGCUGAGGCUCGAAAGCGUGGGGAGCAAACAGGAUUAGAUACCCCUGUAGUC